CAGUCGCCGCGGUAAUACGAAGGUCCCGAGCGUUGUUCGGAAUCACUGGGCGUAAAGGGAGCGUAGGCGGCGUGGUAAGUCAGAUGUGAAAUCCCGGGGCUCAACCCCGGAACUGCAUCCGAUACUGCCAUGCUAGAGGCUUGGAGAGGUAGCUGGAAUUCUUGGUGUAGCAGUGAAAUGCGUGGAGAUCAAGAGGAACACUCGUGGCGAAAGCGAGCUACUGGACAAUAACUGACGCUGAGGCUCGAAGGCCAGGGUAGCGAACAGGAUUAGAUACCCCAGUAGUCCCUGUCUCUUAUAC
rnacentral:rRNA from 1 species